GAUGAACGCUGGCGGCGUGCCUAAUACAUGCAAGUCGAGCGAACAGACGAGGAGCUUGCUCCUCUGACGUUAGCGGCGGACGGGUGAGUAACACGUGGAUAACCUACCUAUAAGACUGGGAUAACUUCGGGAAACCGGAGCUAAUACCGGAUAAUAUAUUGAACGGCAUGGUUCAAUAGUGAAAGACGGUUUUGCUGUCACUUAUAGAUGGAUCCGCGCCGCAUUAGCUAGUUGGUAAGGUAACGGCUUACCAAGGCGACGAUGCGUAGCCGACCUGAGAGGGUGAUCGGCCACACUGGAACUGAGACACGGUCCAGACUCCUACGGGAGGCAGCAGUAGGGAAUCUUCCGCAAUGGGCGAAAGCCUGACGGAGCAACGCCGCGUGAGUGAUGAAGGUCUUCGGAUCGUAAAACUCUGUUAUUAGGGAAGAACAAAUGUGUAAGUAACUAUGCACGUCUUGACGGUACCUAAUCAGAAAGCCACGGCUAACUACGUG
rnacentral:rRNA from 1 species